UCGCUUCAGCAGCAAGUAUACUGAAAUUGGAACGAUACAGAGAAGAUUAGCACGGCCCUGCACAAGGGUGAUAUGCAAACUCAUGAAGCGUUUCAAAAUGGA
ensembl:snRNA U6 U6 spliceosomal RNA